rnacentral:rRNA from 1 species
CCUACGGGGCGCAGCAGUGAGGAAUAUUGGUCAAUGGCCGCAGGGCUGAACCAGCCAAGUCGCGUGAGGGAUGACGGUCCUAUGGAUUGUAAACCUCUUUUGUCAGGGAGCAAAGGGCGCCACGUGUGGCGUUUUGCGAGUACCUGAAGAAAAAGCAUCGGCUAACUCCGUGCCAGCAGCCGCGGUAAUACGGAGGAUGCGAGCGUUAUCCGGAUUUAUUGGGGUUAAAGGGUGCGCAGGCGGAAUGUCAAGUUGGCGGGAACAUUACGGGGCUCAACCCCGUCGUGCCUUUGAAACUGGCGUUCUUGAGUGAGCGAGAAGUAUGCGGAAUGCGUGGUGUAGCGGUGAAAUGCAUAGAUAUCACGCAGAACUCCGAUUGCGAAGGCAGCAUACCGGCGCCCAACUGACGCUGAAGCACGAAAGCGUGGGUAUCGAACAGGAUUAGAUACCCGGGUAGUC